rnacentral:rRNA from 1 species
UACGAAGGGUGCAAGCGUUACUCGGAAUUACUGGGCGUAAAGCGUGCGUAGGUGGUGAGUUAAGUCUGCUGUGAAAGCCCCGGGCUCAACUUGGGAAUUGCAGUGGAUACUGGGGAGCUAGAGUGCGGUAGAGGGUAGUGGAAUUCCCGGUGUAGCGGUGAAAUGCGUAGAGAUCGGGAGGAACACCAGUGGCGAAGGCGGCUACCUGGACCAGCACUGACACUGAGGCACGAAAGCGUGGGGAGCAAACAGG